GUGAAAAGGCAAUGGAGCAUCUAAGAGCCAAUAAUUUGGCUUAAGAUAUGAUGAGAUCACACAGACAAUAUUCUAAGGAAAAAUAAAAAUUAUGCAAAGCUGAAGAGGACACGCACGCGAAUCGCAUAUUGCCAUUUGCCAGAAUCCAGAUUCCCUGUGAAAUAUGUCUCAUAUUUUAUCAAUUGAAUCGGUGGUGACCGUCUUUCUUGAUGGUUGUCGGAACAGGUAAACAAUCAGUUCAGAUUGAAAUCCAACAUAAUUAAUUAAAUAAUUCAGAUAUUAAAAUUAAUAUAUAUGUAUAUAAAUGAAAUGAUUAAUUCAAUUAGUUUAAUCUCAAAGUUGAACUGAAUUUUUCAAAAAUUAAAAAAAAUCAAUAUUAGAACUGAGCAUAUUUUGAUUACAAUCGAAAAAUUAAAUUAAAUUGUUCAAAUUAAAAAGAAAAAUUUAUUCAUCGAAAUUAAAUAUGAGGUCAUCAAUAAUUUAUAAGAUAUUGAAUAAUUUAUUGUAUUGUAUUAAUAUUGUAGAGAAAAUAAAUCAAAUUUAAUUUUAUUUCAAAAAUUGAUUAAAAGAGAGAAAGUUUAUCCAAGUUUUAUAUAUAGUGAAACAAUACAUUCUUUCGUGUCCAGACAUGAAUAUUUAACGUAUGAAUUUACAGGUAAAUAUAUUUACGAAUGAUUAAACAUUGAGUAAGGUAAACUUUAAUACUGUAUAGAAAAAAUAUACCAAACUUAACUUCAUCCCCAAUAGAGACUAUAUGUGAUUAAAUAAAUGAUGUGAAUUUCCCCAAUAGAGACUAUAUGUGAUUAAAUAAAUGAUGUGAAUUUAAGGAAUGAUAAUUAUUUAUUGUGAACUUUGUGUUAUUUAAUAAAAUUAAUUUACUUUGUUAGUAAUUAUAUUGUUUAUUAUUUAUACAAAUUUUAAUAAAAAAAGUGUAAUUUAUUAAAAAAAUCCAUUAGCAAUGACAAUUAUUGAUGGAUUUUAAGAUAUUAGCGACAAAAUUUUUUGAAUUUUUUUUUUUUAGAAAUCUAGAUAAUAAAUUGGAAUUGCUAAAGCCUCUUAAUUAAUCAAAAUACAAAUGGAUUAUUAAUGAUGUUUAUAUUGUCAAUUUAUCAUAGAUCGUAUGGAUCCUUAAUUUUCUAAGGUCUAUAAAUUUCUCAUCAAUAUCGAUCCAAAUAACAAUCAACUUGAGUCUUUUUUUUUUUUCCUCCUUUAAUCAAUCAACUGUUAGAAGCUAAAAAUUGUUAAAUUUGAAAAUUAAUUCUUCACAAAUAUUUUAAAAAUUUCUGAUUCCAACAGCAUCGUAAUUUGUUUUCUCUAAAAAU
rnacentral:misc_RNA from 1 species